rnacentral:lncRNA from 1 species
UAUGACUAAUGAUCAAGGUAAUCAAUCAAACACAAAUGAUAUAAAACAAGAUUAUUUUUAUUCCAAAAUGGUUUUUGAUUUGAUAGAUAACCAGAUAUUCCAUUCCUUAGGUCUAAACCCAACAAUCUUGGGCUGACCCAGCCUGCGGUAUAAUGUCUGAUGGAUCAAAGCAAUAUAAUGUCUCGGCCGCAACCGUCUCCAGCCUGCGGUCUUUACCCGCGACCACUACAUCAUGCGAUCAUACACCGCAAAAUCAACUGGACACUUUCGACGACACACGGCCGCGGUCAUGACUUGCUCGCAAAGGAUGGUUGCGGUUAAGGUUCGUUUCGCCGUUACUUUGCCGCGGUCAGCUUCUUCCUGCGACGGUCGCGUGCGAAACCCGGUCAUCGUUUGCCUGCAAACGUUGCUUGCGGCCUGGGGCAUUGCUGCGACGAGUUCAUGGCCGCGGCUGGAUCCUUCCGCGAAGCUUCUCCGCGACCAAGCUUUAUCCAUGACGUCAAAUCUCCAUCGCCUGUUGGGUUCGAGCUUCGCCCCGGUGUCGUGCUCUCAUCUCGUGGUCUCCUUCUCCGUUGCACUGUAACAGGCUCGCCGCGUCGUCAAGCAGCCGUGACCACCAUUCCAAGCUUGUCGCAAUUCUCCACCACGGGAUCUAUGGUCCAAGCCGUCUCCUCCCCGCCGUGCCCAACUCCACCGUCGUGGUCGUGCUCAUCGUCGGAAUCAAGCUCGCCGUCGUCAACAAGAUCCGGCGAUAAGAACAAUCAUUCUCUCCAAUGGUGGGUUUUGGGGAUUUUGCAAUUCUGGCCCUUCACGUUUCGGAUAAUUAAAAUUUGACCCCAAAACUAUCAAAAUUUCAGAAACGUCCUCUUGAUUCAGCCCUUAAGUUUCAAACGUACACUCCAGCCUCUAAGAUAUGCAAAUGAAUACACUAAUGCAAUAUGUACAUCUAAAUUGCAAUCUAAAUGAUCAAUAUAGACAUUAAAUGGAUGCUUAGAGCUAUGAAAAACACAAGAUAUCAAAGACUUUUAGUGAUAAACCCCACAACUAUUUUUGAAUCGUAAAAAAACUUCUCAACUAAGUUUUCAACAUAAUAAACCCUUAAAGUAUGUCACCCUGUCACGGUUUUUUAGAGGAAGGUAACAUAUGUUAACAGAAGUAAAGUUGAGGGUUUAAUUCAUAUGACUUUUAAUUGAUGGUUUUUUUUUACGAUUUAUCUUUAGUUGAAGGGUUUAAUUACUUAAAACCCUUUCCUUUUCGGUAUACCUUGAUAUAUUUUUUGUACUAACUAUCAACUUUGAAAUGAAGAUAUAAACAUUUCUAAUCUGUUUAUAUAUAUAUCGUUUGGGAAGGUGAUAUGUGACCAUAUGGGAUGGGGAGUAAUUAAAGACGGGUCUUCCUUACAUAGACCACAAGAAAGCUAGCAACCAAAUUGAGAAUCUGAAGAAGAAGGUUAGAUGGAAUAUUCUGGCAGGAAGAGGCUGUACCUUUCUUCCAAUCAGUGACACUACCAAAAGAAUGCACUUCGGUGAAGCAAUGCUACCUCGAGCUAGCUAAGCUCGUCAGAAACUUGGAAAAGUGGAUCCUUACUUCAUCAAGUUUGCAGAUGGAAUGGUCACUUGGACCGAAGCAUGGGACGAGCUCAACACCCCAAAUGUAAACUAAAGCGCCAAAGAUGAAGUAAAAAAGAGUG